AGUGAACGCUGGCGGUAGGCCUAACACAUGCAAGUCGAACGGCAGCACAGGAGAGCUUGCUCUCUGGGUGGCGAGUGGUGGACGGGUGAGGAAUACAUCGGAAUCUACUCUGUCGUGGGGGAUAACGUAGGGAAACUUACGCUAAUACCGCAUACGACCUACGGGUGAAAGCAGGGGACCUUCGGGCCUUGCGCGAUUGAAUGAGCCGAUGUCGGAUUAGCUAGUUGGCGGGGUAAAGGCCCACCAAGGCGACGAUCCGUAGCUGGUCUGAGAGGAUGAUCAGCCACACUGGAACUGAGACACGGGCCAGACUCCUACGGGAGGCAGCAGUGGGGAAUAUUGGACAAUGGGCGCAAGCCUGAUCCAGCCAUACCGCGUGGGUGAAGAAGGCCUUCGGGUUGUAAAGCCCUUUUGUUGGGAAAGAAAUCCAGCUGGCUAAUACCCGGUUGGGAUGACGGUACCCAAAGAAUAAGCACCGGCUAACUUCGUGCCAGCAGCCGCGGUAAGAC
rnacentral:rRNA from 1 species